UCUAGGGUUGGAUAUCGUUAAGGACGAAGCGGUCCGAUACCGAUACCGGUACCAACGAAACGAUCCGGUAUUUUUAGCGAUACCGAUACCGAUACCAGGCUCAUCAGCAAUUAUUUGGGUUGGCUGUACAAUUUCUAUAUCCUCAUCAGACACUUUUGGUUCAGGUGACAAAGUAAGAGAGUCACACCGGUCAGGUGUGGUAUCAUGUAUGUCAGAUUCCACUUUGAUCUUAACUUCCUGAGUAGGUGCUGUAGAUGGCUGUAUCAGAUCUGCAACUUUGGAUUCAAGACGCCCCCAUACUUCAUUCAUGACCUUGGUUUUAAACCUGCAAUAUAUGAAAAGUUUCACAUAUUCUGGCAGAGUAGCUUGAGAAACACGCUUUCUUCCCUCUAGAUGUUGAGGAGGUGAUAGUGGCACAGAGGGCUCCAAUUUGGGUUCUGGUUGAAGCUGUGGAAGCUGUGGAAGUGGUGGACCUUCA
rnacentral:lncRNA from 1 species